AUUGAACGCUGGCGGCAGGCCUAACACAUGCAAGUCGAGCGAGCGGCGGACGGGUGAGAAAUGUCUGGGAAACUGCCUGAUGGAGGGGGAUAACUACUGGAAACGGGAGCUAUUACGGCAUACUGUCAGAUGAGCCGAGGUCGGAUUAGCUCGUUGGUGGGGUAAAGGCCUACCACGGCGACGAUGCGUAACUGGUCUGAGAGGAUGAGCAGUCACACUGGAACUGAUACACGGUCCAGACUCCUACGGGAGGCAGCAGUGGGGAAUAUUGGACAAUGGGCGAAAGCCUGAUGCAGCCAUGCCGCGUGUAUGAAGAAGGCCUUCGGGUUGUAAAGUACUUUCAGCGGGGAGGCGUUACCCGCAGAAGAAGCACCGGCUAACUCCGUGCCAGCAGCCGCGGUAAUAC
rnacentral:rRNA from 1 species